AGAGAAGUAUCGUUCCUGGAAGUGUGCAUCAUUGAAGAGAUAUGUGAAAAACACCUUAUGGAGUUAAUUUGGAAACAAGUUCGGCGUUUGGAUAACUGAAUUUUCGUUUUUUUUUUGGUAGCCAAACGUGACGCACCAAACGGACCGAUUUCUCCUGCGCAAAAAAUAUUUCAGGAAAAACUGAACAUUGCUAUCUAACUGAGAGUCUCCUCAUUGAAAACAUCCGAAGUUCUUCAAAGGUAAAUUAUUUAUUUGAAUGUUUUUGCUGGUUUUUGUGAAAAUGUUUCCUGCUGAUGCUAACGCUAAAUGCUACGCUACCUAUCAGUACUGUUACACAAAUGCUAGUUUGCUAUGCUUGAGAAGCAUAUUUUUGAAAAUCUGAGAUGACAGUGUUGUUAACAAAAGGCUAAGUUUGAGAGCUAGCGUAUUCAUUUAAUUUAAUUUGCGAUUUUCAUGAAUAGUUAACGUUGCGUUAUGGUAUUGAGUUUGAGGCUAUGAUUACGCUACCGGAUCCGGCAUGGCUCUACGCAAGAAUUAAUGACUAUUUCGCAUUGCUCUUGAUAAUAAUCUGAUAUUUCUUUUUAAAUCAGAAGUGGUAGUUGUGACCGGUAAGGUAAGGGGGUACAUCUGAUAUUUUAACUUCCCAAAAAUAAACAAACAUUUAUAUUAUAAAACAAAACAUGCUGAAGAGAGAGAGACACAGGAUAUACAGUAUGUGUUAUUGUGCUUGAGAGAAAUGGAGAACAGGACGAAUAGAAAAGUAGUUUAACGAUGUGUAUAGUUAUGGUUUCAAACUUUUUUUUUUAUGCAGGCAAAAUGGCAGAAGCUGGUUUUCCUAGUAAGCCAAGGAUGGGAAAAGUAUGCACCUGUGUCGUAGGUCAUACUUUCAAUUCUGAUAAGGACUUGGUAAGACAACUCACUGGCCGAGGAGACUGUACCGAAGUGUCACUCGCGGAGAGUGAUGUCAUCAUAAUGAUCUGUCCUAUGGUCGGUGACUUUGGAACUCUGGACCUUGAUAUACAACUGGAGGUGGUCUCAGAGCACCUAGCUGGUAGACCUGUUGUUCUGGUGGUGCUGCACCAUGACACUUUCUACCCAGACUCCACUAUACCUGACAGCAGCAGACUAGUGACCAGGGGUGAGGUAAUACUCACAGUGGACUGUCUAUUUAAUCACAGAGGACUGCUGGACUGUCCUCGCAAUAAAGAAGCAGUUGAUAUGAUUCUGAAGAGGCUAAACAUACAACCAAAGAUAUAGUUACAACUUAUAGCCCACUUUAAGUUAUUUAGCACAGCACUUGCACACCGCUUGUUUGGGUGGGUUGAGUUUUGGCCAGCCUGGCGACAAAAAUGAGUUAAAAGACAAUUAAGAAAGGGAGUUCCAAACUUCUCUGACAAUAACAGCUAGUUUUCAGUUUUCCCCUCCCCACUCAGAUCACUCCCAGACAGUCCUAGGAAAAUUAUGUUCAGCUUGAUUGAAUUGUAUAAGCACUUCUUUCAAUCAACUUAUGGAAACCACCAAAGUGACUAUUGGAGGGAUGCAAUGAAUUGUAUAUUGAUGUUGAAUUGAGUUUUCAACUGACACGAGUUGAAUAUAUUGUACAUUAAACAACAACAAAAAACAAUUGUAAAGGUAAUUAAACAGUUUUCCCUAUUGAAUGUACAUUGAUUGAAACCUGAAGUCAUCUGAAAUAAAAUCUUCAAAUGCUGAUGACGCCUUGCAAAUGCAAUAAAAACAAACAGCUUUGAUGAAA